rnacentral:rRNA from 1 species
AUCUACCUACGGGACGCAGCAGUGAGGAAUAUUGGUCAAUGGGCGAGAGCCUGGACCAGCCACGUCGCGUGAGGGAGGACGGCCCUACGGGUUGUAAACCUCUUUUGCCGGGGGACAAACGGCGGCACGCGUGCCGUCCUGAGGGUACCCGGAGAAAAAGCAUCGGCUAACUCCGUGCCAGCAGCCGCGGUAAUACGGAGGAUGCGAGCGUUAUCCGGAUUUAUUGGGUUUAAAGGGUGCGUAGGCGGGAUGCCAAGUCAGCGGUCAAAUACGGGGGCUCAACCUGCGUCCGCCGUUGAAACUGG